AGUGAACGCUGGCGGUAGGCCUAACACAUGCAAGUCGAACGGCAGCACAGUAAGGGCUUGCUCUUACGGGUGGCGAGUGGCGGACGGGUGAGGAAUACAUCGGAAUCUACUUUUUCGUGGGGGAUAACGUAGGGAAACUUACGCUAAUACCGCAUACGACCUACGGGUGAAAGCAGGGGAUCUUCGGACCUUGCGCGAUUGAAUGAGCCGAUGUCGGAUUAGCUAGUUGGCGGGGUAAAGGCCCACCAAGGCGACGAUCCGUAGCUGGUCUGAGAGGAUGAUCAGCCACACUGGAACUGAGACACGGUCCAGACUCCUACGGGAGGCAGCAGUGGGGAAUAUUGGACAAUGGGCGCAAGCCUGAUCCAGCCAUACCGCGUGGGUGAAGAAGGCCUUCGGGUUGUAAAGCCCUUUUGUUGGGAAAGAAAAGCAGCAGGUUAAUACCCCGCUGUUCUGACGGUACCCAAAGAAUAAGCACCGGCUAACUUUGUG
rnacentral:rRNA from 1 species